GGAGAGGUGGCGGAGUGGCUGAACGCGCCGGUUUCGAAAACCGGUUAACCGCAAGGUUACGGGAGUUCGAAUCUCCCCCUCUCCG
rnacentral:tRNA from 1 species